UACGUAGGGGGGCAAGCGUUGUCCGGAAUCAUUGGGCGUAAAGAGCGCGUAGGCGGCCCUGUAAGUCCGCUGUGAAAGUCAAGGGCUCAACCCUUGAAAUGCCGGUGGAUACUGCAGGGCUAGAGUCCGGAAGAGGCGAGUGGAAUUCCUGGUGUAGCGGUGAAAUGGCGCAGAUAUCAGGAGGAACACCGAUGGCGAAGGCAGCUCGCU
rnacentral:rRNA from 1 species